GCCUCAAGUGAUGAUUAUUGGAGGUAGAGCACUGUUUGGACGAGGGGCCCCUCUCGGGUUACCGAAUUCAGACAAACUCCGAAUGCCAAUUAAUUUAACUUGGGAGUCAGAACAUGGGUGAUAAGGUCCGUGUUCGAAAGGGAAACAGCCCAGACCACCAGCUAAGGUCCCAAAAUAUAUGUUAAGUGGAAAAGGAUGUGGCGUUGCCCAGACAACUAGGAUGUUGGCUUAGAAGCAGCCAUCAUUUAAAGAGUGCGUAAUAGCUCACUAGUCGAGUGACACUGCGCCGAAAAUGUACCGGGGCUAAACAUAUUACCGAAGCUGUGGAUUGUCCUUUGGACAAUGGUAGGAGAGCGUUCUAAGGGCGUUGAAGCAUGAUCGUAAGGACAUGUGGAGCGCUUAGAAGUGAGAAUGCCGGUGUGAGUAGCGAAAGACGGGUGAGAAUCCCGUCCACCGAUUGACUAAGGUUUCCAGAGGAAGGCUCGUCCGCUCUGGGUUAGUCGGGUCCUAAGCUGAGGCCGACAGGCGUAGGCGAUGGAUAACAGGUUGAUAUUCCUGUACCACCUAUAAUCGUUUUAAUCGAUGGGGGGACGCAGUAGGAUAGGCGAAGCGUGCGAUUGGAUUGCACGUCUAAGCAGUAAGGCUGAGUAUUAGGCAAAUCCGGUACUCGUUAAGGCUGAGCUGUGAUGGGGAGAAGACAUUGUGUCUUCGAGUCGUUGAUUUCACACUGCCGAGAAAAGCCUCUAGAUAGAAAAUAGGUGCCCGUACCGCAAACCGACACAGGUAGUCAAGAUGAGAAUUCUAAGGUGAGCGAGCGAACUCUCGUUAAGGAACUCGGCAAAAUGACCCCGUAACUUCGGGAGAAGGGGUGCUCUUUAGGGUUAACGCCCAGAAGAGCCGCAGUGAAUAGGCCCAAGCGACUGUUUAUCAAAAACACAGGUCUCUGCUAAACCGUAAGGUGAUGUAUAGGGGCUGACGCCUGCCCGGUGCUGGAAGGUUAAGAGGAGUGGUUAGCUUCUGCGAAGCUACGAAUCGAAGCCCCAGUAAACGGCGGCCGUAACUAUAACGGUCCUAAGGUAGCGAAAUUCCUUGUCGGGUAAGUUCCGACCCGCACGAAAGGCGUAACGAUUUGGGCACUGUCUCAACGAGAGACUCGGUGAAAUCAUAGUACCUGUGAAGAUGCAGGUUACCCGCGACAGGACGGAAAGACCCCGUGGAGCUUUACUGUAGCCUGAUAUUGAAAUUCGGCACAGCUUGUACAGGAUAGGUAGGAGCCUUUGAAACGUGAGCGCUAGCUUACGUGGAGGCGCUGGUGGGAUACUACCCUAGCUGUGUUGGCUUUCUAACCCGCACCACUUAUCGUGGUGGGAGACAGUGUCAGGCGGGCAGUUUGACUGGGGCGGUCGCCUCCUAAAAGGUAACGGAGGCGCUCAAAGGUUCCCUCAGAAUGGUUGGAAAUCAUUCAUAGAGUGUAAAGGCAUAAGGGAGCUUGACUGCGAGACCUACAAGUCGAGCAGGGUCGAAAGACGGACUUAGUGAUCCGGUGGUUCCGCAUGGAAGGGCCAUCGCUCAACGGAUAAAAGCUACCCCGGGGAUAACAGGCUUAUCUCCCCCAAGAGUUCACAUCGACGGGGAGGUUUGGCACCUCGAUGUCGGCUCAUCGCAUCCUGGGGCUGUAGUCGGUCCCAAGGGUUGGGCUGUUCGCCCAUUAAAGCGGUACGCGAGCUGGGUUCAGAACGUCGUGAGACAGUUCGGUCCCUAUCCGUCGUGGGCGUAGGAAAUUUGAGAGGAGCUGUCCUUAGUACGAGAGGACCGGGAUGGACAUACCUCUGGUGUACCAGUUGUCGUGCCAACGGCAUAGCUGGGUAGCUAUGUGUGGACGGGAUAAGUGCUGAAAGCAUCUAAGCAUGAAGCCCCCCUCAAGAUGAGAUUUCCCAACUUCGGUUAUAAGAUCCCUCAAAGAUGAUGAGGUUAAUAGGUUCGAGGUGGAAGCAUGGUGACAUGUGGAGCUGACGAAUACUAAUCGAUCGAAGACUUAAUCAA
rnacentral:rRNA from 1 species